UUGUUCAGAGAAGGAUUAAUGUGGAUGUCUCUCCCAACCAAUUGCAAAAACGGGGUCUACCUUCCUAGAGCCAGUCCAUAAAGGCCAAGGGAAUUGUGACUCUAGGUUACAGUUACCAAGUCGACAAAGUCAUUUCUGAACUUCCAUGUAUUUUCAUAACGGAAAAUAUUUGAUCUGGAGAAACAUAUUAGUAAAUUCAAUAAGGAAUUGAAUUAGAUCCAUUUCUUGCUUCAAAAUGUCUGCUUUCCCAAAAUCAAAGAUGUAAGCACCUUACCGUGCUAUAGAUUAUAUCCAACAUCUAUGUAAUGCAGCUAUAUCCCUCCAUUGAUGUAUCAGUGCAGUCUGGUUCAGUUAAGUAGAAACAUGUGCUGGCGUCAAAAUUAUGUGGGUAAUCUAACUUAAAUAUACAUAUGUUACUUAUAUUGCCUCUCUUACCUCACAUCCAACGAAUAUUGCCAUCUAACAAAUAUCCACGUCGAUGGCACUAUCAUGAAAAUCUAAAUUUU